rnacentral:rRNA from 1 species
UUUGUUUAUAUAUUGAUAAUGACAGUAUAUAUAUCGUGUCUUGACUAAUUGCGUGCCAGCAGUCGCGGUAAUACGUAAGAGACUAGUGUUAUUCAUCUUAAUUAGGUUUAAAGGGUACCCAGACGGUCAAUAUAGCUUAUAAAAUGUUAGUACUUGACUAGAGUUUUAUGUAAGAGGGCAGUACUUGAGGAGGAGAGAUGAAAUUUCGUGAUACCAAAGGGACUCUGUAAAGGCGAAGGCAGCCCUCUAUGUAAAAACUGACGUUGAAGGACGAAGGCACAGAGAACAAACAGGAUUAGAUACCCAAGUAGUCUUUGCAGUAAAUGAUGAAUGCCAUAGGUUAGAUUAAUCAAUUAUAGUCUAGGGUUAGUCUAGCAAACUAAUGACAGACUAUAAUUAAAAAUAUCUGGUCUAUAAAUGAAAGUGUAAGCAUUUCACCUCAAGAGUAAUGUGGCAACGCAGGAACUGAAAUCACUAGACCGUUUCUGACACCAG